CUUUUUUAGAUUUCACAUAUAAGUGACAUCAUAUAUUUGUCUCUCUGUGUCUGACUUACGUCACUCAGUAUGACAGUCUCUAGGUCCAUCCAUGUUGCUGCAAAUGGCAUGAGUUUGUUCUUUUUUAUGGCUGAGUAAUAUUCCAUUGUAUAUCUGUGCCACAUCUUCUUUACUCAUUCCUCUGUUGAUGGACAUUUAAGUUGCUUCCAUGUCCUGGCUAUUGGAAAUAAUGCUUCAGUGAACAUUGGCAUGCAUGUAUCUUUUCAAAUUAUGGUUUUCUCUGGGUAUAUGCCUAGGAGUGGGAUGGCUGGGUCAUAUGGUAGUUCCAUCUUUAGUUUUUUAAGGAACCUCCAUGAACUUUCAUCUUUAAUUCGCUUGCAGCCUUUGGGUGGUCAAGGAGUAACUUCAGACGGAAGCCAGUGUCCCUGUUCCCUGCCAGCCUCCACCUGAGUCAGGGUCUCAGAAGUGCCCCGUCCUCUCACCUGCUCAGAACUGUGUCCUCCCUUGGCCAGGCCCCUGGCCUCCCAGGCUUAAGCCUCUCCCCAGGCCUAGCAUCUCCCUACAAAAUUGCUAGGGAGGCAGGGCCAGCUUUUCCCGCCUGUCUUUCAAACAUCACCUCUAGAACGGAGACUCUGUCCUUGGAAUACAACCACAGAUUUCUAAUAAGGCUGAAUUUUAAACACAGUUUUUGUAACAAUCCACUCACUUCUUAACUUUGUGUUAUCAAAUUAAAAAUACAUUGUCAAGAAUAUUCUUGCCAUUCUAAACCACAAAUUGGAUUGUUUUGUUUUUAAUCAUAGCAAGGAAAUUUACUCUGUGCAGUUGCAGCAUAUCUCUUUUUUAAACCUAUUUAUUUCCAUAGCAAAAAAAAAAAAAAAAGAAAAUUCCUUGUAAGGUUAAAUAUAGAAUUAACAUAUGACUCAGCGAUUCCAUUCCUAGGUAUGUGCCCAAAGAAUUGAAAACAGGAGCUCAAACGUGUACACCAUGGGGAACUCCCUGGCGGUCCAGUGGUUAGGACUCCAAGCUUCUACUGCCAGGGGGCAUGAGUUCAAUCCCUGGUCAAGGAACUAAAAUCCUGCAAGCCACAUGGCAUGGCCAAAAAAAUUAAAAUGUACACCAAGUUCAUAGCAAUAGCCAAAAGGUGGAAAUGACCCAACAAAUAAAAGGAUAAACAAAACGCAGAAUAUACAUACAAAUGGAUGAAAUUUUGACAUGUGCCACAACAUGGAUGGACCCUGAAAGCAACACUCUGCGUUAAAUAAGCCAGAUACAAUAGGACAAUAGUGUAUGAUUACACUUAUGUGAAAUAUCUAGGGUAGGCGAAUGCAUAGAGACAAAAAGUGGAUCGGAGGUUAACAGGGGCUGGAGGUUGUUACUUCAUUGGUAGAGUUUCUGUUCGGGUGAUAAAAAUGCUUGGAAUUAGACAGUGGUGAUGGUUGCCCAACACUGUGCAUGUAAUUAAUACCAUUGAAUUGCACACUUUAAAAUGGUUAAAGUAAUAAAUGUUCUGUGUGUUUUAGCACAAUUUUUUUUAAAUCAGGCUUUUUAUUAGUAUGACAGUUUUUGGCUACUAGAGCAAUUAUACAUCUUAUUGUCUCAUAUUUAAAGUCUUGGUAAUGAUAUUUAUUCCCAACAUAAAAAUCUAGUUUUCAAUGUCUUGUAGAACUUCGCCAACAUGACCAGCGUAACCAGUGCACACUGCCUGGAAAUGCCCUUCUCAGGCACAUGGGUCCAGAAAGAGUGGCAGACCUGGAGAAGCCUGGCCUUGUACCCAGCUCUCUGCUUCCUGCUUCUGCGACCCUGCAUGUCGCUUAUGAUCGCAAUGCAUCAGUUUCCAUAUGGGACACGGAGGAGCCACAGAAGUAUUUUCACCAAAGAUUUCUCUCAAGGCCCUGGAGAGCAUGGAUUAGAGAAAAGGAGAGGCACGUCCAACUGCGCGCUAAUUAAAGUGGUCCAGAAACUCCGGUAGAGACUGAGACCUAGGAUUUCCUCUCCUGCUUCCCCCCGCCCCUGCUGUUGCCUCCUGACCAAACCUGGUGCUCCUCCUGCGGCCCUGAGUGGCAUGGUGAGCCCUCUUCUCUUGGGAAAUAUGAGAAGCAUGAAGUGAUACCUGUGUACCCUGUUGAACAAAUUUUCCAGCUGCGCUGCACAGGCAGAUGUAGGAACAAAAACAGGUAGAAGGUAGGACUGAUUCACAGCUGUGUAGCUGUUGGUUGAAAGGGAGGAAAAGGACAAGGAAGUAAAAAACGUAAGGGUUUAUUCAUUUACUCAACAAAUUGUGUAAAUUUGUUCAAAAUUGAAAAAUUAAUUCAAAGGACGACUCAGGAGAUCUAGAGUGGUGCUGUCCCUAGAUCUUUCUGCUAUAAUGGAAAUGUUCUAGAAUUUGCACUGUUCACACUAUUUAUAAUAGCCAAGACAUGGAAACAACCUAAAUGUCCAUUGAUAGAUGAAUGGAUAAAGAAGAUUUGGUACAUAUAUACAAUGGAAUAUUACACAGCCAUAAAAAAGAAUGAAAUAAUGCCAUUUGCAGCAACAUGGAUGGACCUAAAGAUUAUCAUACUAAGUGAAAUUAGUCAGACAAAGACAUGAUAUCACUCAUAUGUGGAAUCUAAAAUGACACAAAUGAACUUAUCUAUGAAACAGAAACAGACUCACAGAUAUACAGAACAGACUUGUG